ACUGCUCAGUAACACGUGGACAACCUGCCCAAAGGUCCGGGAUAACCCCGGGAAACUGGGGAUAAUACCGGAUAAAUCACAAGUACUGGAAGGUUUUGUGGUUGAAACUUCCGGGGCCUUUGGAUGGGUCUGCGGCUGAUUAGGUUGUUGCCGGUGUAACGUACCGUCAAGCCUGUAAUCAGUACGGGUUGUGGGAGCAAGAGCCCGGAGAUGGAUUCUGAGACACGAAUCCAGGCCCUACGGGGCGCAGCAGGCGCGAAAACUCUACAAUGCAGGCAACUGCGAUAGGGGAACAUCGAGUGAUACUCAUCUUGGGUGUCUGUCCUCCCGUCUAAAAAACGGGAGUUAGCAAGGGCCGGGCAAGACCGGUGCCAGCCGCCGCGGUAGUACCGGCGGCUCGAGUGGUGGCCGAUAUUAUUGAGUCUAAAGGGUCCGUAGCCGGCUUUGCAAGUCUUUUGGGAAAUCCAGCGGCUUAACCGUUGGUCGUCCGGGAGAUACUACAUUGCUUGGGACUGGGAGAGGUAGGAGGUUCUCAGGGGGUAGGAGUGAAAUCCUGUAAUCCUUUGGGGACCACCGGUGGCGAAGGCGUCCUACCAGAACAGGUCCGACGGUGAGGGACGAAAGCUAGGGGCACGAACCGGAUUAGAUACCCGGGUAGUCCUAGCCGUAAACGAUGCUCGCUAGGUGUCACAACAAUCGUGAAUUGUUGUGGUGCCGUAGGGAAGCCGUGAAGCGAGCCACUUGGGAAGUACGACCGCAAGGUUGAAACUUAAAGGAAUUGGCGGGAGCAC
rnacentral:rRNA from 1 species